rnacentral:lncRNA from 1 species
UACCCUGGAUGCAAGAAGUCAGGAAAGGGUGUUAUUACCAGAGUUACAAUGGUGCUAAGGACCCCAGGAGAGAAGGAAAUGAGCAAAUUUGGGAUCCUCUUUAGUUUUUAUUUCAAUCCCUCAUGCUAUUUUUUCACUUGAAUUGGGAAUUGGGCUUAAUCAGCAGUGUUUCCACAGGGAACAGAGCCUGUGAAAUGAGAACACACGUGUGCCUGACUAGCGUGGUUUCAUUGGAACACCCCAAUCUUUCAGAUCCUGCUUUCUGGCUUCCUGAUCUUGGCUACCAGUUUGGUUGGCUUCCUUGUAUGCUGUUCCCACCUUGGUCCAACAGAACCAUUCCUGGAGAAAAGGUAAGAUGCAGACGGCCACAACACUCAAC